CCUACGGGAGGCAGCAGUGGGGAAUAUUGCACAAUGGGGGAAACCCUGAUGCAGCAACGCCGCGUGGGUGAAGGAGCGUUUCGGCGCGUAAAGCCCUGUCAGCGGGGAAGAAGAAAGACGGUACCCGACCAAGAAGCCCCGGCGAACUACGUGCCAGCAGCCGCGGUAAGACGUAGGGGGCGAGCGUUAUCCGGAAUUACUGGGUGGAAAGGGAGCGUAGACGGCGCGGUAAGCCGGAAGGGGAAGCCCGCGGCCCAACCGCGGAACUGCUUUGGGUACUGUUUUGCUGGAGGAUGGGAGGGGUAAGCGGAAUUCCUGGUGUAGCGGUGCACUGCGUAGAUAUCAGGAGGAACCCCGGUGGCGCAGGCGGCUUACUGGACCAUACCUGACGUUGCGGCUCGCAAGCGUUGGGAGCGAACAGGAUUAGAUACCCCAGUAGUC
rnacentral:rRNA from 1 species